rnacentral:rRNA from 1 species
UACGUAGGGUGCAAGCGUUGUCCGGAAUUAUUGGGCGUAAAGAGCUCGUAGGCGGUCUGUUGCGUCGGCUGUGAAAACCCGGGGCUCAACCCCGGGCCUGCAGCCGAUACGGGCAGACUAGAGUUCGGCAGGGGAGACUGGAAUUCCUGGUGUAGCGGUGAAAUGCGCAGAUAUCAGGAGGAACACCGGUGGCGAAGGCGGGUCUCUGGGCAUUACCUGACGCUGAGGAGCGAAAGUGUGGGGAGCGAACAGG